GAUGGGGGAUGCAAGCGUUAUCCGGAAUCACUGGGCGUAAAGCGUCUGUAGGUGGUGAUGCAAGUCACUGGUGCAAAACUCUGGCUCAACCGGAGGAAAGCCAGUGAAACUGCAUGCCUAGAGUGUGGGAGAGGUAGAAGGAAUUCCCUGAGUAGCGGUGAAAUGCGUAGAUACAGGGAAGAACACCGGAGGCGAAAGAGUUCUACUGGAACACAAAUAACACUGAGAGACGAAAGCUAGGGGAGCGAAUGGG
rnacentral:rRNA from 1 species